GAACCAGCAAGGCAAUCUAGUUGGGUUAUCUUCUCCGCAGUGGAGGUUUUGUUCCUUUGCUCUUUGCAAUAAAUUUUGCGGCUGCUAAGUCGUUGGGUACGUGGUGCCUUAACUAGCUGUAACACUCACUGCGAAGGUCUGCGGUUUCACUCCUGAAGCUAGUGAGACCAGGAGCCCACCAGAAGGAAAAAACUCUGGACAUGUUCGAACAUCGGAAGGAACAAAUUCCAGACACACUAUCUUUAAGAACUGUAACACUCAACCGUGAGGGUCCGCAGAUUCAUUCUUGAAGUCAGUGAGACCAAGAACCCACCAAUUUCGGACACACCUGGAAUUCUUUGGAAGGCUGAAGCGAGAGGAUCAUUUGAGGCCAGGAGUUUGAGAAAUUCUAUGUGAUAUAAAGCAGAUGCAUAAAAUUUGCCCACAUCUCCAACUCACUUAUAAAAUGUUUUUUUCAAGAGAGUGGAACUUCUAGUGCAUAAAUACAGUUUGGGUUUAAAAAUCCAGAAUCCUGAAAAAAAAGGCUCUACUUAAAAAACGACUGUUUUUGGUCAGUAAUUUGAACAGUAAUUUAAAGGGCUCUUCAGUGACUUUAGAAAUCAUUAAAUCCAAUUCCUUCCUUUUAAAGUGACAGCCGAGGCCAAAUGUGGAGAUGGCAUAACCAGAAGAGGGAACGAACUGGCCUGGAUGUGACUCAUACUUGGAAGGGAGCUGUCUGGAAGGACCACAGUACCUGCAGCCAACUUUGUGUGAUUUAAAAUAUUUUGUUCUCACACACAAUGCUGCAACUGUACAUAACUCAGCUUCUAUAUAUGCAAGUGUAUCUGCAGAACAAAUGCCUAUAAUUAGAAUACUGGUUAAAAAGUCAAUCAUCAUGGAAUGAGGGCAGAGAA